GAGGCCCACCCACCUUGGGGAGGGGCCAGCUGCUGUGUUCAGUCCGCCAUUGCAAACACGAAGCUCUUCCAGAAACGCCCUCACAGACACCCCGGAAGUCACGUACCCACUCUGUAGGUGCCCCGGGGCACAGGCAAGCGGACGAGCCAGUUAUCCCUCAGAGCUCCUGCUGCCUCGCCCGCUUUCUCUCGGAAACGUGAAGUGUGGGCCUCAUUCAAUCAGUUGAAUUCUUCAAGAGAGAAAAACUGAAGUCCCUUAGAAGGAAAGAGUUCUGCCUUCAGACUGUCUUUGAACUUAAGACUGUAGCGUCGACUCCUGCCGGAAUUUCCAGCCUGCUGGCCAGCUCUGCAGAUUCACACUUGCCAGCCUCCACAAUCGCAGCUGAGGCGGAGGAACCCUAAGGGCUCAUUGAGAUCAUGGAUUUGCCCUUCUAUGCAUUGAUGGAGCACCUGCUGCCCACAGCGUCUGUAUUUGGUGCUGGGAUGCUGAGCCUCCUUCUUUAUGAAUUUUUAAAAGGACACUGAGAUCUUCAAACAGAGGCUGCCACUCUAAGCAAACAGAUCCCGAGCCCUGGACUCUGAAGCUUGGGCCCAGUUCUCCUUUUCUCCGGGUUUCAGAUCCCACUGUGAAGUGAGGGGGCCCUUCUGAUUCAGGACCCGGGGAAGCCAGGGGCAUGAGCAUCGGUGCCUCUUCUCUAUUUCAAGGACCCUUCUGGGUGUAAAGUUCUCUGAGAUGCCUUACAUGGAUUCCCACCACUGCAAGAUAACCAUCGUAUGUAAAGUGUUAUGACCAGCAGAGCGUAAUUGAAGUGCAUUCCAGAGGGAAAGACAGCGGCUCAGGAACCUGCUUACCUCAGAGCCUGCUGCGGACUGAGUUGUCUUCUCCAAAAUCCAUUUGUGGAGGCCCUCAUCCCCAGUGGGAGAGUAUUUGGAGAUGAAGCAUUUGGAGGUGAUUAAGCUUAGAUGAGCUCAGAGUGGAGCCUCAGGAUGGCAUCGAUGCCCUGGUAAAGAGGGACACUGAGACCUGGCCCUCCCUUGCUCUCCACCGUGUGAGGACACAAUGAGAUGGUGGCCACCUACAAGCCAGGAACUGAACCCUACGGGGCCUUGACACUGGCCGUUCCAGCCUCCAGAAUGGCUAGGAAUAAAUGUCUGCUCUUUAAGUCACUGGGCGGUGGAGCUUUGUUAUGGCAGCACCAGGGGCUGGUUGAGAGCCUUUGCAUGGCUCUUGUUCCACCUGGAAUGAGAUUUCUAACUCUUGGCUACCUCACCCCCUUACCUCAUUGUUUCAUGUUGCAACCACCCACCCACUCCCCAUGUCUCUGGCAUUCUCAUUUAUUUUUUCUUUGAUUUCAUAGAACACAUCACAAAGCCAUUUGCUCAUGCAUGAUGUUUAUUGUCUAUUUUCUAUCUCCCUGCUAGAGGGUAAGAUGCUCAAGAACACUGCUCUGUCUGCCUCCCUGGACCCAGAAAAUGCUUGGCGUGUGGUAGAACUUAGAUAUAUUUGUGUUGAAUAAAUUAAUUGAAGGGG
ensembl:lncRNA EPIC1 epigenetically induced MYC interacting lncRNA 1